rnacentral:rRNA from 1 species
ACUCCUACGGGAGGCAGCAGUGGGGAAUAUUGCACAAUGGGGGAAACCCUGAUGCAGCCAUGCCGCGUGUGUGAAGAAGGCCUUGGGUUGUAAAGCACUUUCAGUAGGGAGGAAGGUAGUGUAGUUAACACCUGCAUUAUUUGACGUUACCUACAGAAGAAGCACCGGCUAACUCCGUGCCAGCAGCCGCGGUAAUACGGAGGGUGCGAGCGUUAAUCGGAAUUACUGGGCGUAAAGCGCAUGCAGGCGGCCUGUUAAGUCAGAUGUGAAAGCCCGGGGCUUAACCUCGGAAUUGCAUUUGAAACUGGCAGGCUAGAGUCUUGUAGAGGGGUUAGAAUUUCAGGUGUAGCGGUGAAAUGCGUAGAGAUCUGAAGGAAUACCGAGUGGCGAAGGCGGCCCCUGGACAAAGACUGACGCUCAGAUGCGAAAGCGUGGGAGCAAACAGGAUUAGAUACCCCGUGGUAGACUGU